CACUGCGUGACGUCAAGCAGCCGGCAUGCCUCUUUCACGUGAUCGCUAAGGGGUUUCUCAAUGGAAGGGGCCGGGAGGCGGGGCUAGAGCGCGUGCCCGGAGGGUAGUGGGUCACCAGGUCCUCGCACUUAGUCCUCCCUCCCGGAGGGCUGCACCGGGUGCCGCCCGGGCCCGCGCAGACAUGGGGAUUCGAACUUCACGCUCCCGGCCCCGACCACGUGAGAAACGACCUGGAUGCCCGGAGCUUAAGGAUGGAGGACACCACUGACCUCGGGGGAAACAAAAACAGGCCUCAUUUUCCAGGACCGGAAGACCCACCGUGUCUCUCCCCUCCCAGGGCCUUGCUUCAGCCUGGUCCUCAAGAAUGAAAACUUAUUUAUUGGUGUAGAGGAAACUGGUCACCAGUGGAGGAAAGAGGCCACUUGGAGAGGUGUGUCAGUUACCCUCAGAAGCUCCUCACCCUGGCAACCUGUCUACCUCUCCCUUCAACGCACAAAGUGGGCCCUCCACCCAUGACCUCUGCCCGAUCACAUGGACACAAGAUGGAAGAGGGAUGCAAAAGGAGAUCUGGUGCUUGAAGAUGCCUGGUCUAGAGCUAUAUUACAAAAUUCAAAUCUAGCCUGAUUCCGGUGAUUUAAUAGUAACAAGAAGGAAAUAUUUUUAAAAGCUCUGCAUUGUGUUAGACCUAGAUAAUAGUGGAAGCACUUUUAAUUUUGUUUAAAGGUACUAUAAACUUCUUCAGAAGGGAAGUCAAAUUAUAAUUGCCCAUUGCAAAAAUGAAGACUGCUGGGAUUUUAUGUUUUGAAAAACCCAAAGAGGCAGGAGAAGAAUUUUAAAAUGUUCAUUUUGAGUUACAUCUCAAAUUUAUGUCAUAAAUAUAAUUAAUCAACUGAGUACCUCCUACUCAUACCACUUUAUGACAUUCCACAAUUUUCUUAAACAAGUUUCACACUUAGACAUCUAUACAAAUAGCCGGCUAUCAUUUAGAUGAGUGAAGGUUAUCUCUGUAACAUGAAAAUAACACACGAAAGGGAAUCUGGCACCUAAAUACAGAGCAGAGGUGGUUAUGGCUUGUCUGUCUUGGCACUUUCACCCCUGUUAAUCCCAACUAACCAAAAGCUCUUUCCUUAGUUCAAACCUUGAAUAUUCAGUUUUCUUAUCAUUUUACAGAGAACAUCUUAAUUUUAAAAGUACUUCUGGGUCCUAGGUAAUGGUUCCAUCAUUUUCUUUUAGUAAGAACUGAUUUUCUUAUUUGCAAAUGAAGCAACUUCAAAAAAGGAUUAAUCUCCGGAAUUUACAAGCAUCUCAUGCAUCUCAAUACCAAAAAAACAAACAACCCAAUCCAAAA